CGGCAAAAGUUUCGCCCGCAGCCCGCGCUCUGCUCCCGAAAGUCCCCGCGCCCGGCCCACCACCCCUUUCUGGCCCCUUGGCCCUUGGCCCCUCGCGCCGUCUCUUAAGUUAACCCGCCUUUUACUUGCCCUCCUUGUACCCUCACUCUCAGAGGACAGCUUCCGGACACCCAGCGCCCCUAGUCCUGUUCCAGCUGGCGUGAAAACCCGGGCGGCAGGAGGCGCGGUGCGGGGUUCGCGCUCGGCCUCGGGGCGGAGCGGCGGCGGCGGCUUUGUGCUCCCUCUCCCGCGUGCAACCGAGCUCCCCGACAGCAGAUUCGAGCAGCCCGGCCCGCGUCCAAAUCCGAUUCCCCGGGGACGGUCCCGGCCCACAGAUGGCUGUGCGAGCGACCGCACGCGCCGUGCGCCAGAGUGCCCCUGACCCUUCUCGACCUGGUAAAGCUGAUUCUCCAAACCCGCUUGAGAAAAAUGGGAGGUAGUUGGCCUGCGUGUCUGGGUGAAGUCCACGUGGGUUCUUGGGGUUGUGUAAGGGCGCCAAACAAUGGGGCUCGGUUUUUCGCAGUCCUUGGAAAGUACAGUAGGAAUCUGGGGACCAGGAUGCUCGGCUGAGCCAAAAGCAGGGUUGGGGCAGGGGUUUGGGCAAUGGCGAGCCUCCCCCCAGCCUUCCCUCACAGGCUCAGGCUGAGCCAGAGGGGGACGGAAAUACUUUUUCCUUUCUUGCUGGUGUCCUGAUCACCCCACCCACCCUGUCUAACAGCUGUCCACUUUCACCAAGUCCAGAUUCUCUCCCUCUCUUAGGCAGGUACAUGUUAGGAAAUCUAAUACAGGAAGUUGCUUCCCUCCGAAGAAUAAAUUUGCCAGAAAAUUUGUUACUAGUGCA
rnacentral:lncRNA from 1 species